CCGACUCUAAAGCCCCACUACUACUACUACCUUUCCUCCAUUAACAAAUUAUUACUCCAAUAAAACCCCUCUGCCUCUCUCUCUCACUCUCAGUUUUAACUUAAUUGAUCGAUUUCUCAAAUUAAGAAGAAAAAAAAAUGGUGGAUGUUUGCUGUCUGUGCGGCGACGUGGGCUUCUCCGAUAAGCUUUUCCGGUGCUCCGACUGCGGCCACCGCUUCCAACACUGGUAUUGCAGUAAUUACUACGGAGAAUACGGAGAGAGUAAUCAAGUAUGCGAUUGGUGCCAAUGCGACAAAAGGAGGUCCGUCGGCAAGAAAGGCGGCCGUCCGGCGGGGAAAUCCGCCGGAAAAGGCGCAAUCCGAAGGUACAAGCUUCUCAAAGAUGUAAUGUGCUGAUCAACAAAUCAAGUUACAACUUUGUUUUUGGCUUUAGGUGUUUUGCUCGGCUCGGCCCAUCUUGUGUGCUGGCUAAUUUCAAUAAAUUCAUUUUACGAGUUUCGUUCUUAUUUUUCACUUUUUAUUUUUUUUUUUAAAUUGCAAAUUUGAAGUGUUUACGAUAUUCUGAUCAUGAAUUUCAUAAGGGAAAAUGCCGACGUGUCAAUACUGAUGCUUUUAUUUAUUAAACAAUAUUAAUGUACAGUAAUGUUUGUAUGACAUUUGGAAGAAUGUUUGUCGAGCAACGGCUUCAAUGUAAAACAUAAAUGUUUAUAAUCAAAUAAAUAAUGGAAAUUUUAAUGUUUUUUCGGAAAA